rnacentral:tRNA from 1 species
AAAUAAGUAAGCUAAAUAAAAGCUUUUAGGCCCAUACCCUAAAAAUAGAUUAAUCAUCUCUUAUUUA